CCUCACUCGUGGAUCGGUUGGCAGAAAGAAAUGGAAGAGUGGAGUGUUUCCAGUUUCAGGGAGCUCCUCCUUGUCUGUGCGAGUCUACCCCAAGCAGGCAGGCGCAGGCCCAGCGUUAUAAUUUGCCCUUUGGAUUUUACCACUCUGUGGAGUCCAUGAAACAUGGUUUUCCAGUGGACAAUGGCAUCUGGUUUCUGGAACUGUAACACAAGUAAUUAAAAUCCAGUGACAGAUAUUGGGGUUCAAGCUGAAUAUUAGAAAACCAAAGCAGUACAAGGUUACAGAUUUCCUGGCUUUCCAGAUGCAAUGUCACCCUAGGACCGGUAACCUGAGCUCCGUAUCUAGGCCAAGUUGUUUGAACUAGGAAGAAUCUCUGGGAGGUUUGUUGACUGAGUAACUAGUGGUUGAUUAUGAGUCCCGGAAAAGAACACUGUGAACUCCUCUAAGAUUAUUUCCACUCAUUAUGUUUGGCAAGGAAACUUUUCUGGAAAGGGGGAGAUUGUACUCCCUCCACAAC
rnacentral:lncRNA from 1 species